GUGGAUGUUCAAACACGCAUGCGCCGUGAAUAUAAUUUUACGCGCAUGCGCGGUGGUGUGUUGUUAUUGGUGAACAAUCGCACGUGCUUUGGUAUUUCAAGAAGAAUCUGCCGAGAAACGAUGGAUUAUUUAACAACAGUGAUUGUAUAAAGAUUUGACUGGAUUUGGCAAGAUGCCCUUGCUCAUUAAAGAAGAUGGAGAUGUGGCUUUCCUCAGACUGUCUCUGACAUGCCAGCUUUUUCACCAUGUUGUUAGUGAAGCAUCUUUCAGAGAAAAGGCUCAUGUUGUCUGGCUUGACAGUGUUGUCAACUGGAACACAUUCUCCAUGGUGUAGAGAUUUAUUUACAGAUGUCCACCUGGUCGAGUUGGAGGAAGGGUGUCCCAGGGAGGAAUUGUUCAUCUAUUCUGCAUCAGUAAAGCAGUGGUGGCGUGGCACUGACCUUAAACUAUUUAAGAUCAAACUGUGACAAAAGCUUUACCUGACCUGACUGCAGUCAGUUAUAUGUGACCUUGCCUGUGAAAAAACAGGAUAAGUCUUGAAAUGUAAUUAUGAUAUAUUGAGCAUCAAAGUGUUAUUUUCAUUAAUCUCACCUUUUGCCCUUUGGCGCUACAGAGCACUGAAUACUAGACACAACAACCGUUUGUUCCUCAGGCUAAAACCUAAACAAUAAAAGCACCCAUAACUUCCACACCUGUAACUGUAUAUUGUUUAUAAUCACCACAUACUGUACAUCUGUAAAUACUAAUCUAAACUGUAAAUAUCACCUAUUAUCUAUCUGUACAAUAACAGCAUCUGAACAUCCAUACAUGCAUCACUACACACAAUUGUAAAAAAGGAGAAAAUUUAUACAUAUACUUACUGUACCAUACUGCUUAUUUAAAUUAUUUUUGUUUUUAUGUGACUAGUGUGUUAUUGUCUUUAGUGAUUUUACUUAGUUAUUCUAUGUAUGUCCGUAACAUGUCACCAAGAGAAAUUCCUUGUAUGUGACAAAAACAUACUUGGCAAUAAAGCAGAUUCUGAUUCAAUAUUAAAGAUAUCAAGGUUAUAUUUUUACAGAAUGUUGUUUACAUUAUGUAGGAUGAGUUAAUGUAGAGACUAGUAAACAGAAAGAUGACUAUAGCUGGGUUUUCACUAAGUUCAUGUUUAGGCCUAAUGUUUAUUGUUAAAAAAUUUUGAUAUUUGCAGUCACCGAUCAUCAGUGAAUUGAAUAAGCUCUGGGGUAAAAGU